AUUGAACGCUGGCGGCAGGCCUAACACAUGCAAGUCGAGCGAGCGGCGGACGGGUGAGUAAUGUCUGGGAAACUGCCUGAUGGAGGGGGAUAACUACUGGAAACGGUAGCUAAUACCGCAUACCAUCAGAUGUGCCCAGAUGGGAUUAGCUAGUAGGGUGGGGAAUGGCUCACCUAGGCGACGAUCCCUAGCUGGUCUGAGAGGAUGACAAGCCACAUGGGAACUGAGACACGGUCAAGACUCUUACGGGAGGCAGCAGGGGGGAAUAUUGCACAAUGGGCGCAAGCCUGAUGCAGCAAUGCCGCGUGUGUGAAGAAGGAUUUCGGGUGUUAAAGCACUUUCAGCGGGGAGGCGGUACCCGCAGAAGAAGAACCGGCUAACUCCGUGCCAGCAGCCGCGGUAAUUC
rnacentral:rRNA from 1 species